CCGCACGAUUUCCUCAAUUUCCCUCAUUUCCCUCACAUUUCUCCCUCCUUUCCCAAUCUCCCUUUUUAACCUAAUCUCCCGCGUCGAUCCCCCCUCCUUUCCCUCCUCCUUCCUUUCUUCUUUCCGGCCUGUGCACGUCCUCUCCAACCAUCGUCACUGCCACCGUUGCCAUUGUCGUUGCUUCCCGUCGCCGCCGUUGCUUCCUGCCGUUGUUGCUUCCUGCUGCUCACCUAAGGUCAUUCCGCCAACUCGGAAGCUCAACUAGCAGCAAAGGCAAAUGAUAAAGAUGUUGAAUUAGAAGUCUUGAGGAGACUUAAAAGCUGCUCACAUUGCUCUGGAGUAAAAGGGCAAGAAUUUGAUUCAAUAGAAGACACAUGCCCUGUAACAGCUCUUUGACGUUCUUCUUGAACAAUCAGUGCAUAUACUUUGCCGAUUGAAGGCAGAGGAUCACUCAACAAUAUUUGUCUACGAAUUUGUGAAUAUGUGUCAUUUAACCCCAUAAGAAAUUGCAGCACAUAAUCUUCAUGAGAUGACUUUCCACAGGCACAUCCUCGACCACAAACAUAUUUCUUAGUGGCUAUGUAAUCGGACAAUUCAUCCCACAAACCUUUCAGCCUAGUAAAAUAUGUUGUUACAGUUAGGUUUUCUUGCA